rnacentral:tRNA from 1 species
GGCUUCGUAGCUCAGCUGGUAGAGCGCUUGCCGCAAUGAGGCAUGGUGUUUUGUCGCUGGUUCGAAUCCAGCCGAAGCCC